CAGCGUCUUGUGCAGACUCUACGUUGAUAAGUUGCAAUUCAGGUUUAUGUGGUAAUGCGAAUUUAAAGGCAGUAUGUCCAAUGACUUGCGGUACUUGCCCUGCUGCAUCAUGCAAGGACAACCCACUUAUCCACUGCAUUCCAACUUUAUGUGCUAUUCCUAAUUUAAAAGCUGAAUGUCCACAAACAUGUGGGUCCUGCAAUUCAGGAUAAUCUAUUAAAAUCUUAUUCAUAUUGAUUUGUUAUUUUGCAACGAUACCAGCAUCUUUAAAAAACAAAUUCCACUAAAAUUAGAUAAAGGAGAAAUGGAAUUAGCGUCUACAUGACAACAACAAAAACAUCUUUGUUUUUUUGUUCAAUUUUUAUUAUAGCAACCUUUUAGCAUACUAAUAUGUUGUCAAAUACUGCAUUGCAGAGAGUAAAUAUUACAACAUAGAUCAGGCUAACGGUAAAAACUGAUGGGACACAUAUAUAGUUAGUUUCCUCUUACAUUUAUAUAUUUAUACCAUGAUAAAGGAUUAAGCCACUGUACUGUAACUAAAUCAAAACAUACAUGAAUUAGCCGAUAUGAUAUGUAUUGGAAAGUAUUGAUAUAAAAUUUCUUUUCAAACCAUACAAUGUCAGUCUUAACAAAAAAACCUAAAUGGAAACAUUUGUCUUUCUAUGUUGUGAUGUAACACUAUUGUUUCAGGUAAGGGUGAAGGUUGGUACCUAUUGAAACGUUCAAACCAGCUUCAUGUUUUUGAACCUGUCCUAAGUCAGAAACCUGAUGUUCAGUGGUUGUCAUUUGUUGGUGUGGUUCAGUAAUGUUUCUCGAUCCUCGUUUAUUAUAUAGAUUAGACCCUUGGUUUUCCUGUUUGGAUGGUUAAACACUAGUCAUUAUUGGGGUCCUUGAUAGUUUGCUACUCGGUGUGAGCCAAUGUUUCAUUUUUAAAGACCGUACUUCGACCUAUAAGAGUGUGCUUUGACAUUCAUACUGAACCUGCUUGUACUCAACGAAUGAUGCUAAUUAUUAACUUAUUUCAUUUGCAUUCACAUAUUUUUAUUGUUUGAUAUAUUAAUGAAUAUUGGCAUUCAAAUGAGUGCUAAUUGUUUUUGAUAAUAUUGCAUCGCCGUCUCAGGUUGAAGGGUUAGAGAUAAAAACUGUCUGUUUCAAGCUAGGAGCGUGUUGUCGUCUGUCACGUCCGUCUUUUUUUCUUUUUAAAUACAUUUAAAAUUGAGAAUGGAAAUGGGGAAUGUGUCAAAGAGACAACAACCCGACCAAAUAAAAAAACAACAGCAGAAGGUCACCAACAGGUCUUCAAUGUAGCGAGAAAUUCCAGCACCCGGAAAUUUGUUCCUUUUGAAUUGAUCAUUUUUUAAUAUUCAAGAGCCUUUCAUAGCUUAUCAAACUAUAUUAGUUUUGAUCACUAUUGAAGGUCUUACGACGAUCUUUAGUUCAAAACAUUCUCCUUUUUUUUUACUGUAGAUAUUUGUCUCAACGACAUCAUACGACAUAUCAUUUUUCCCGAUAUAAACUAGUUUUAGAAAAUAAAAUGAUUACAAGGUC